GUAGUGUCGCUUAUUUUGACCCUACAUGGCGCAGUCAAAACAAUUCAAACGAAGGAAGAUCACUUUUUCACUACCUUACAAUGAAAACACACAUCAUAUAAAUACAAGUUAAAAAAUUCGAAUUUCAAUCACUUUCCUGGACCUAGCAGAAGAAAAUACCCCAUACUGAUACGUAAUUCUCUGAGCAACCAAAAGAGAAAUUAGAGACGGAAAACGCGGCUACCUUAUAGGAAGCAUGAGAGUGAG
rnacentral:misc_RNA from 1 species